GGGGUGGAAUCAUGCGAAAGUUCAGGCAUC
rnacentral:piRNA from 1 species